GAGGGGUGCAAACGUUAUUCGGAUUGACUGGGGCGUAAAGGGGUGUGUAGACGGCAUAUUAAGUUCGUUGUUAAAUCUUCCGGCCUAACCGGAAGCUCGCGAUGGGAAACUGAUAUACUUGAGGAUGGAAGAGAGAAGUGGAAUUCUCGGAGUAGCGGUAAAAUGCGUAGAUCUCGAGAGGAACACCGAUGGCGAAAGCAGCUUCUUGGUCCACUCCUGACGUUGAGACACGAAAGCAUGGGUAGCAAACAGGAUUAGAUACCCUGGUAGUCCAUGCUGUAAACGAUGAUCACUGGAUGUCAGCUUCGCUCUGCGAAGUUGGUAUCGAAGCUAACGCGUUAAGUGAUCCGCCUGGGAAGUACGGUCGCAAGAUUA
rnacentral:rRNA from 1 species